rnacentral:rRNA from 1 species
UGGUGGAGUGAUUUGUCUGGUUAAUUCCGAUAACGAACGAGACUCUGUCCUGCUAACUAGGUCCUGUUUUCUCGGAACGCCGGUGGGCGUGUGGGGCGGCCGUUCGCGCGGCUCUUCCCGCGCUCUCUCGGCUUCC